rnacentral:rRNA from 1 species
AUGAGCAAAGUGUGUGUUCUUGAGAGACUUGCGCACCAAAAUCAAACGCUGGUCCAGGUUGAAAUUCAUUCAGGACGGCCUCACCAAAUCCGAAUACACCUUGCAUACAUUGGACACCCUCUUGUUGAUGAUCCUCUCUAUUGUAUUGGUGGGCAGCCUAAAUUUCAUGACCUGGAAUCUACUAGUACGGAUAUUUCUUUUGCAUAUGACGGAGGUUAUGAGAGGCCUUUACAGCCUGUUCCCGGGGACUGUGGGUAUCACUUGCAUGCUCAUUGGCUGGUCCUCUCUCAUCCAACCACGAAUAAGGUAAUGAGAAAUUGA